GGAAAAGAGCCAUUGAAUUUCACAAGAAGUUAUAGCCAUUACACUUUAUUUAGCUUAAGUGGAAAAACAAGAAAUUCUGUGUUGCUUUUUGGAUUUCCAAGAUAUAGGAGAAGAACCCAACAAUAUAUAAUACUUGGUAAUGGAACGAUGGGUUUCUAGACAAGUCACCCAAUCAAAGUCACAAAACGCAUUAAGUUGAAGUGUACUAGAUGGAGAAAAAAGAAUGUCGAUUUCGACUGAGUGAUUGUUUAAUGUGUCAAAGCAAGCGACGAGCAACAUCCAGAUAUGGUUGUUUAGGAUUAGCCAUGAAUUGAUUAAGAAUUUGAACUAAGAAAAUAGUGCCUGGACAACGAAUAGUGAGAUAGAUGAGGCAUCUAAUAUGCCUAUGAUAUAAAAGAAGAUUGGGUAAAAGGUCUCCAUCAGUUGAAGUAAGUGAGAGGUUGGGUUCCGUAGGUGUCUUGGUAGGCCGAGAACCAAGGAAGCUAGUAUCCUCUAAAAUAUCAAGUGCAUAUAUUUGUUGGGAAAAAUAAAUACCAUGCUGGGAGCAUGAAACUUCAAGUCUUAGAAAUAUUUAAGUGGACCAAGAUCUUUUAAGGCAAAGCAAUCAGAGAUAAUUCUUCAAAGUUGAAAUGACAGAAAGAUAAUUGGUACAAACCAAUUGUUGGCAAUGUCAAAUUACUUUAUUUCCUAUCCCUGGAUUGAAUAGAUAGUUAUUUGUUUUGAUCUCUAUCUUUCUACCUUUAAUAGGUAUUGGUAUUUACCCAGACUUUAUUCUCUCAUUAUUAAUUGACAAGGUUGAAGCUAUUCUAUCUAAUUUUUAUUUUAUUUCAUUUUAUUAUUAUUUUUAUAUAUACAGAUAGAUUUCAUGAAUAAAAAAUAAAAAUAAAAAUUAAGCUUUUGGUUUUUAUAAUUGGUGCAUGCCUCUAACCUUAGGUUUCCCUAGACUUGAUCAAAGCAUAAAAAAAAUGGCUACAAAAGCCAAUAAAAUUAAUUAAUCUAGAGAAAAAAUAACUCAUAUUUGUGAUUUGGAUGUUUCCAGAUCAAUUCUAAUUUGCUAAAGUCGUUGAAGAAGUUAUAGAUCUCGUUUACUUGGUGUUCUUCCACCUAAUCUCUCCUUACACAAAUCCAAACACGUAAGAGAAGUAUAAACUACUCUUCCUCCCUAAGAGUGGUUAGAAUUUCUCUUUGGAAGAUAAAAGACAAAAGAUUGAAACCCUAAUCCCUAAGGGAGUAUUUAUAAAUCAUCCUAUGGGUUUAAGUGACUUGUGCCUAGGUAUUCACAAAAUAACAAUCAAGUGUCCUAAAGCUCUAAGGACUUUUGACUACGUUGUAAUGUUAUUUGGAUUAAAAAAUGCUAAAGCUACAUAUCAACAUUCUAUGAAUGUACUUUUCCAUGAUUUAAUUGGUAAAAUAAUGAAGGUCUAUAUUGAUGAUAUAGUAGUGCAGGGUUCCAUAGGUAGUUUUCAGCCCAAGAUAAUAUAGGCAAAAAAACAGCAACCAGUCUAUUAUUUUAGUCGAUUGAUAACUAAAGUAGGAAAGAAUUAUUCUCCAAUAUGAGUAUUAUAUCUAGCACUACUUUUUUUCCAUAAAGCUCAAACAUUGUAUGUUGCCUACCAUAGUCUAGAUGAUAGCAAAAAUAGAUGUAGUAAAAUACGAUGUUGUCACACCCUAUCCCUCAAAGGUUGAAUGGGAAAAUAAAUAUUAGCCAUCCAUCUUAAAAGAUUGCAUUGAUAUGCAUGAGAUGUCGAGCAUGCCAACGAUUGAGAUCUUUACAUCAUCUCUAGGCCUAAAAGAAUUGGGAGAAGCUCAAGCAAUGCAUAUGGAGUUAGAAGAAUUGGGAGAGUCUCGAUUCAAAUCUUUGGAUCAUCUCUAAGCCUAAAAGAGAUAAGUUGCUUGGACCUGUGACAAGAGGGCAAAGAGAAAAGUUUUUAAUGGUAACCCAUUCAUCUUCAUUUUAAAUUUUGUACCGUUUAUCUUUUCAUUUUUAAGUUUUAAUUUUUUUUAAUAUUUUUCUAAAUUUAAGUUGACUAAUUAAAAGGUGUUUGAUAUUGGCUAAAACCAUUUAGAUAAAACUAUCUCACCAACAUUUUUAUUUUUUCAAAGACACAGAUUACGGGCAUUUUCUUAAUGACUUGCACUAGAUUUAAAAUUCUCUCUCACAAUCUGCUAUCGUAGGACUACGUUUACAUUAAAUCCUCCUCCUUCGCCUCCUUGUUGAUUGAGGAUGCUGCCUGUUUAUUGGAAUGGUCUGGGCGAAGAUUCCAUUCCCCCAGAAUAGAAUGUAGCCAAUACUCAACCCUGCCACCACCCCACACCCGUAUCCCAUCCAUGCCACCCUCCAAUCAAAUUCAAUUCUCGGAUCAGAGUCCAAGAGUCGUUCAUGAGUUGAUGCCUCUGCUUCCUCAUCGACUCUGCAUUUCCUGGAUAAUGGAAAUCCGCAUAACAUUGGGUUCCCCUCGUAUGAUUUUAGAGGAAAUGUGUUGAAUUGACCUCCGCUAGGUAUGGCUCCUUCGAGGUUGUUUCCUGCCAAGUCCAAGAAGGAAUGGAAUGUUGGACUUGUUAACUGCACAGGAAUCUCCCCUGAUAGCUUGUUGUUUGAGAGAGCCAAUGACUCAAGCUGGUGAGCAUUCUCCAGUGAUGAUGGUAUAGGGCCAUCAAGGUUGUUACUAGACAAGUCCAGGUUAUGCAAUGAAUUAAACUCUCCGAUGGACUCUGGGAUUUUCCCUUCCAAUUGAUGAUUGGAGAGAUCAAUACUUGUGAAAAAAUCUAGAAUCCUUUCUAGUUGAAACUCUCCUCCUUUCAUUGUUAUCUUCAUUGAGCUCUGAAACUCAUAAUAACCCCUUUUGACUCCAAGGUAAUUUGGUCCGGAAUUUUCAUCUUCCUCUUUCAUCAUUGCUUUCCAAGUGUGGAAGUACUCAGAGGGCAACUGGCUUGCGAAGGCAUUGGAAGAUAGGUCAAUCACAUGAAGCAUUGGAAAGGCAUUCCUCAUCCGGGGAUGUUUAAUCUGGCCAUAGAACCUAUUGGAGUGCAGGAUGAGAACUUGCAGUUGUUGUAAAUUCUCCAACCUGAACGGAAAAAUAUCAUUUAUCUGGUUGUUAACCAGGUGUUCUAAUUGAUUUCAGUUGAACACAAGUAUAGUUAAUGAUUCUGCAUAAACCCGCGGCAUGGCUCCCUUCAAACCAUUCCCACCUAGAUUUAGUACUGACAGAGAACUGCUGAAGUUACCUAGACAACUUGGUAUUGUGCCAUCCAAAUUGUUAUUUGAUAGAUCAAGGACUUCAGAUAGAUCAAGAUAACGAGGAGUGGUCAAGUUUGAGAACAUGUCCAAGUCCAUGCUACCUUUGAAGUCAUUGGAAGAAAGAUAAAUGACUUCUAGACUCGUGAGUUGAGCAAUCCAUCUUGGAAUAGGGCCCUGCAACACGUUAUCACUAAGAUCUAGCUCCUUCAAAAAUGGGGAAGGCUUGUAAGGAAGCUGGGUAGGCAGAGCUUGGAGUCGGUUCUCGUGAAGAUCUAAUACCUUCAAUGAUGGGAAUAUAAACAAAGAAUAAUUUAUUACACCAUCAAGUGAGGCAGACAAGAUCGCUGUCUGGAGACAAACUAGUGAUCAUCUUGUUUGGUAGAAUCAGAGAUGGAAUUGAUUCACUGAAAUGGUUUGAUGAAAGGUCCAUAGUUUCAAGUUUUGUGAGAUUGACAAUGGAAUGUGGGAUUUUUCCUGAGAAAUUGUUAGAUGAGAGGUCCAAACUCUGCAGCUGCCUGAGGUUGCCAAUUGAACUUGGGAUUGAACCAUGAAAAUGGUUUGACGAGAGGUCCAAACUUUUCAGCUGUACAAGCUUACCUAUCCCUUUGAAAUGGUUCGAUGAAAGGUCCAAAUUCUGUAGCUUUCUAAGGCUGCCAAUUGAGUUUGGGGGAUAGGACCACUGAUAUUAAGACCAUUAAGAUCUAAGUCAAUUUAUUAUUAAAUUACAUCUAAUAUAAUAUUAUGAUAUUUGAUUGUAAUAUGUCUAAUUUUAAAAUAUAUAUUAAUAUUAAAAUUAUGAUUCAUUUAAUUCAAUUGUAUUAAACAAUAUAAAAUAAAUUAUGAUAUAUAUAUAUAAUUUUUUAAUAUUUAAUUAAUUAUUAAUGAUAUUAAAAACAUUAUAAAGAAAAUUACAUAAUUUUUAUAUUUUUGAUAAUCAAUUAAAAGAAAAUUUUUCAUUUAAUUAUAAAAUAAUUAUAAUUAAUUUGCUUUUUAAAAUAUUCUUUUAAUAUUUUCUUUAUAUAAUGAGUUUAACUAUAUAUAUGUUUAAUGCAUAUUAUAUAAUAAGGGUAAGUUUGACUAGAUGGUGAGUGGGUUGAACCUCAAACCUUUUGGUUUGGGGUUCAAAUCUCCUCAUAUAUCGCCACAUAUCGUGAUAUUUUCCUCUUGAUCCCUACCUUUAAUAGGGAUGAACUAGCUACCUUGGAAAGAUAUCCACCUUUUCUUAUCAUCCCUUUCUCUUAUCAUUUGUGAUUUAUUAAAGGAUUGGCUCAGAUUAAUGUAAAUAUAUUGAAUUAAACUAAAUCAUGAGAGAUUUUAUUGAAUACUAAAUGAUUAUAAAAGUUGUAUCCAAACUCAAAAGUUUUUUUCUUUCUUUUUUAAUUUGCUCUCUGUUCACCAAGAAAUUUAUGGUAUUUAUGAAAAACCUAACCCUAAAAACAAAAACAAAAGUGUUAAAAUUUCCAAUGAGAAGCAAAAAAGCCGAAUGGGGAAAGUCUCAAAGUGAAAUUCUGGAAAUUAUAGUUUGUAUAAAAAAUUUCAAUACCUUCGUAGUGGUGUCAAAAUGCAUUUUGAUAAAUGUCUAAACCUUAUAGGCCUCUAGCAUGCUUCUAAUGUGGUAUUGGGUUGAUUAUGACAUGUAUCAUAAUGUAUCUUUUUGUAUUAUGAUGUAUUGAAAUAUUGCAUCUUAUAUCAAAAUUGUAUCUUAAUAUAUCUUUUUGUAUCUUGAUGUAUUGAAAUGUUGCACCUUGUAUUGAAAUUGUAUCUCCAUGUAUUAUUCAUUUUGAUAAACCCUAAAAAUUUUGGUAUCUUCAGAAUGCUUUUGUAGGAAAAUUUGGAUACAUCCACUAUAUUGAAAUGUUUAUCAAAAUUAAUCUUUCAUAUUGAAAUGCAUUUUGAUAAACUCCUAAACUCACUAGAUCUUUGAGAGGUUGAGGUUGGUGAUUUUCAAUACCUUAUUGUGGCAUCGAAAUCAAUAUUGAAAUGCAUUUCUUGUAUCAAAAUGGUGUCCUCGCAUCAAAUUGUGUAUUGCUCGACAUCAAAAUGUAUUCUAAUAACACCCCAAACUUAUUGUGUUUGGAUUGACUCUACUCUCUUGUAUUGAAGUUGUUAGGACAAUGAGUCUUCAAUGUAUUUUGACAAUUUUGUUUCAUUCUAUUUUUGGCUUAAGAAUCUUUUUAGAUAGUGACUUACUCUCCAUCGAAGAUCCAAGGCUAUUGUUCAUCCAACCGAAAAGUCACAGGUAUAUCCAAGAAGGUUUGACUUGUGACAAGUUAGGUAAUCAAAGGGGAUAAAGUAAAUUGAUAUAUUUUAAAAAAUUAAAAUUAAAAAGGUUUGUUAAAGGACAAUUCGUUUGUUUGUUUGUUUUUUUUAUUUUUAAAUAAGAUAUGAUUGAAUUAGAAGUUUUAAAAUUGAGCUAAAAUCUCUUAAUUAUUUUUUUGACAACUUUGGGAUUUUAUUUUUAAGAAAGUUGAUAUUUUGUUUUUAACAAAAUUCUUUUCUUAAUUAAUUUUUAGAAAGUUGUUAUUCAUUUUUUUUUUUUUAAGAAAAUUAUUUUUUUAGUUAAUCUUUAGACAGUAGAUAUUUUAUUCCAUUUCCAACCAUUUUGGGUUUGGACAUUGAUGAGAGAGACUCAACCUAACUUGCUCUACCAUUCCCAAUCUCUCAAGAAAGAUUCAAGGAUUGAAUCUUGGGUUGUUGGAAGAUUUACAUUCCUUCAACGAGGCUGAGGAGUAUUCAUUAGAGUAAUUGGAGAUUGUUACAUUACAAACAUGGAUCAAGUAGUAGGUACGGAAAAAUAAUUCUUAAGGGUAAAACAAUAAAGUAAAUCUAUGUAACUUGAUCUCAUAUAAUGGAUUUAGAUUAAAGGUUUUAAAUCUUAUGAUUUUAUUAUUAUUAUUAUUAUUUUUAUUAUUUUAUAUCUCCAUAGUAAGUGUGAGUUUUCCACAAAAAUUAAUGUGUUCUUUGCAUGCUUGUUUACUUUUUUAAAUAUUUAGGAUAUUUUGUUAAUCCUUGAUAACUUGCUAGUUUAAUUAGGUUAAAAACUCUACUCCCUAUUUAAAUUUAGUUAUUAAUUCUUAAUCCUUAUAUUAUAAUUUUUAAUUACACUCAUGCAUCCCCUGUGUUACCCUAUUGGACCACGACUUUUUAGAAGUGAUGUUGAAAUCCACUCUUCCGUAAUAAAAUUCCUCUUUUUCCUUGCAUUCCUCACUAGAUGUAAAGAUUGAUCGUCAAUUUGAGGCUUAGCACAUAUUUAAGUUACAAGAUAAUGAUAUGCACUCAAAAGUUAUUUAAAAGCCUAUUUUUAUAUAUGGAAAAACAUCAGUUUUGAGUGCUAAUCAACUACUGCAUAUGGGAUUGUAACUGCAUUUUAGUUGUCGUCAUUGUCAAGCAAGGUUUUAAGUUGAAGUUUUUGAAGGGUGCAUCACGUGGGCUUGCUGGUUCAGAUAUCACCCGCAUUUUCAAGACUAGAAUUUAACCUCACAGUGUACUCUGCUACAAGCUUGGCGAAAGAUGACGACUUGUUCUCUAGCAAUCUCGUUGGGGUAUCGUAUUCCUCAAUUAGCCCUACAUCAUCGACAUUUCCAGGGAAAUAAAUCAAGAAGAAUGCAGAUGAAGUUAAGAGUGCCAUUAGUUCAUGUUGAUAGUACUAACCAUGAUCCAGAAGUAGAACCCUGUCACUAUCAAGAACAGAAGUAGUUCGAUGUGCAAUAGUUAUGACUGUAGAAUCGACAAAGUGUUGUCUAAGGGUUUGCUGAAUCAGAUUUUCUGUGGCUGUAUCAACUGAUGCAGUAGCUUCAUCAGGCACCAAGACCUUGCUUUUCUUGAGUAGAACUCGGCCAAGACAAACCAGUUGCCUCUGACCCAUGCUCCAAUUCUCUCCAUUCUCAAUAACUGCCAAAUGCAUACUAACAUUAGGAGACUUAUAUGAGGUUUCUAUUUAGAUUUUAUGUUAGCAUGGCGGGAGAAAUAACCUGUAGAAUCUAGCUUUCCUUCUUUCUUCCUGACUUCAUCUCCAAGCUGGCACUUAUCCAGAGCCUGAACCAAUAAGUUAGUUAACAACAUUGCACUUCUACAGUAUUAAGAAAUGUGGCGAAGGAAACUAUAUUUCUACUAUAUUAAGAAAAGAUAGUAGAGGAAAACUACAUGUCUACCAUACUUAAGUAUAUCAAUAGAAUAGACAAAACCUACCUCCCAAAUCUGCUCAUCUGACUACUCUUCAAGUGGGUCAAGGUUGCUCCGUACAGUCCCUUCAAACAUGGUUGGAUCCUGAGGGAUAAUGCUUAGUCUGGACCGCAAAUCAUGUAGUCCAAUGGAAGAGAUGUUGGUACCAUCUAUCAUAAUCUGACCAGCAGCAGGUUCAACAAUUCGAAAGAGGAUCUGUAUGAGGGUUGAUUUACCGCUGCCAGUUCACCCUACAAUGCCAGUCUUCAUUCCUCCUAAACUGCAGAAAUACAUUACUUAAACACAGCAUCUAAACUGCAAAACCGGCAGUCCAUCUUGCAGCCAAUUUCAUUACCCUUAUCUUAAAAAUGAAUCGGCACUAAAAAACCACCAUAUCAACAGUAAAGAAACUUUCAUUUUGAGGCCAUAGUAAUUGACAUGGUACAUACAAAUUGGCACCUCCUCAAUAUGCAAUGCUUGUGAUUGAGCCCCGGCUCAGCAGGAUCAGAAAGGAACAUGAGCAUGCCAUGAAUUGUAAGAGUUAUCCUGAAUUAGGAUUCCAUUUUAAUGCAGUUGGUUUAAAAUGAAUCAAAUUACUCGAUAAGCAAUGCACUACUCCAAAUUUUUUGCUAAGCAACAUUUUGGAGUAAAGUUCUGUUUAUACCAAAAAUGGUUUUGAACCUACUGGCAUUUUCAGGAACAGAUAUGAUUGAUAAUCUAAUCUGCAAGAGUACAUGGCAUCAGUAAGCGAAGAAAAUAAUUAAUGUAAUAUGAGAAACAUAAGGUGAUCUUAACUACAGAGCAUGAGAUGUCAUGUGACAAAGCCAUGUGUUGGCUGGCAUUAAAUAACAAGAAGAGGUCCUAACAAGUUCACAAUGGUUACCUGAUACCAGAUGCAGGUUGCAAUCACAGGAAUAAAGACAAUGAAAACCUGCCAUGCAACCUGUGACAUAACUGCAAUAAUUCCCCGGAGCCGAAUCAAUGAGAAGGCAAAUGCCCCAACUUGCAUGGGAAUGUUUGUGUCGAUCGCAUUUUGGUCUGUAGAAGCCUGAAAAAAGGGAAGGAUCAAUUAAGUAAUAAUCUAACACUUCACUUUGGUCAUUAGGGAAAAAUGCAAGGCAGAAAUAAAUAUAUAUUCAUAUUUGCACUUACUCUGUUUAGAAUCCGUCCACUUGGGGUGGCAUCAAAGAAUGACAUUGGGGCACGGAAAAGGCUCAAAUGCAUUUUAUUGAAGAGUAUAGUAGCUGUUACAAGAAGCAUGGCUCUAGAAAGGACGCUAAAAGAACUUCCAACAGCCAAAGCUACAUAAACAAUCAUGAGAGUAGAACCUCUAACUGCAGGUUUCACAUCAUCUGACACGGGACUUGACCAAGCCAUCCAAUAAUUGCUUCCAAUCUGAAGCAGCUGAAAGAGAAUCUGUGACAACAAUAUAAAGGGCACAAGAGCUCCUCCAUAUGCUGUCCUGAUGUAUUUCCAAUAAACCCAUAGCCCAACUUUACCUUUCUCUCUCUCCUCUUCUUGAACAAGCUGACCUUUUGGUCCAUCUAUCUCCUCUGCUUUACCAUUUUGGCCACCUUUGUUUUCUUCUUUUUCUAUAACUUCAGAAGUACCACCAAUAUUAUCACUGUCCUCAUGGAUACUUGAUUUUUCUGAAAGUGACCCUGCCUCUACAGAAUUGAGUGCUGACAAAGCUUUCUUAUGUGCACCAACAAGUUCCAUAAAAUCAGUUCCAGAGUUGAGAAUUUCAUUGUACUUUCCAGCUUGUGUAAUUCUUCCAUCUUUCAUGACCUGCGGGUAUGCUACAUUUCUUCAGUUUAUCUAAUGGAAACAAAGGCAGGGAAGAAAAAAAAUGGUAAUUACUCACCAGUAUGAGAUCAGCAGCAGGUAAGAACUCUACUUGAUGUGUAACAUAGAUCACAGUUUUCGAACCCAAUAGACCCAGCAAACAUUCCUGUUAUAUGAAGAUUACUUACAAAUAAGAUCAAUGAAAGAUUUUAUUUUUAUUUUUAUUUCAUUUAUUAUAUAUAAUAAAAGGGAAAGGAAAAAAAACAAAGGGCAAUGGGUUAGCAAGGGUCCCUAAUUACCUCAGCCAGACCAAGAACCAAAUCUCAUAUAGCCCAUAGCAGUGCAUAUUUAAACAUACAAGGAUAGCUCAAUUUCUACUUGAUGCAAUGGCAUUGUAUAGAUAACAUGUUUUAUUUCAUAUAUAUGUAUAUUGAUCAAACUCAGGCUUUUAUAAGAGAAAGAAAUUACCUUAAAGAGAUGGGUUCCUGUAUGAGCAUCCACAGCACUGAAAGGAUCAUCAAACAGAUAAAUAUCAGCGUUUUGGUAAAGUGCACGUGCAAUCUGUAUUCUUUGCUUCUGGCCACCACUCAAAUUGAUUCCCCGCUUACCUAUAACCGUCUGAUCACCAAAUGAGAGAACCUCCAGGUCCUUCUUCAAGGAACAUGCAUCAAGGACCCUUUCAUACCUUUCUCUGUCCAUCUCCUUACCAAACAAGAUGUUCUCUUCUAUCUUGCCACUCUGUAUCCAAGGAGACUGAGCAACAUAGGCCUUUGUUCCACACAGCUUAAGGAUACCAGAUAUCUUAGGCACCUCUCCCAAUAUACAGGAGAGUAAGCUUGACUUGCCUGAGCCUACAGUACCACAAACAGCAACCCUCAUGCCACGGCACACCCGCAAAUUAAUAUCCUUCAGUGUUGGAUUAGGGGAAGAUAAAUCCCAAGAGAAAUUCCCAUCCACUAUCUCAAUUGCUGUAUCAGAACUACCUUUUGGAAGCCUCUCGAUAACAUCACUCUGCAGGUCAACUAGACGAAGAAAGGAUGUAAUUCUGUCAAGGGAUACUUUAGUCUGAGCUAUCAUUGAGAUUAGGUCAGGAAGACUGUAGAUGGGUUGUUGAAGUAUCCUGAAUGUUGCAAGUGAAGAUAAGAUCUUCCCUGAUUCAAGCGGGAUUCCUAUAAGCAUGCAAGUUCCAAAGGUGACCACGGACACAAAUGUUGGGGCAACCCAGAAAAAAAAAGUGGUCAUGGCUGAAGUGUAAAGAUAUUUUUUCAACCACCCCGUCUCAUUCUUCCGAAGGUCUACAAUUUUAGACAAAAACUUCAUCUCCCAUCCCUGAAGCUUGAGAAUCCUCAUGUUUCUUAAAAUCUCAGAUGUUGCCUUCAUCCUUUUAUCUUUUGAUUCCAUUAACUUGCCCUGAAACUUCUCUUCCCAUUUCCCCAGUGGAACAUUUGCCAACAUAACAAUUAUAGUUGCAAAGAAAGCUGCAACUGAAGCAAGGCCGACGUUUUUAUACAAGAUUAGCAAGGCUAGAGUAACUUGCACAAUCACCAUCCAUGGUCCAUGCAUAUACCAAAUGAAAUCCCCAAUUCUCUCCGCAUCAACAGACAUAAAAUUAAUGAUCUCCCCAGUAGUAUGGCCCUGCUUUGACUGGCAGGAAAGAGUCAAACCCUUGUUGUAGAUCAUUGUGAUCAUUACUGCUCUGAUCCUAAAACCAACCUGCUGCAAUCUAAAGGAACACUGCCUCAGUGAAAGGCACUCAACAAGCUUCGCAAGAAAAAAGACCAUAACCAAAACAUAGCCUUCAUUUUUGAAUUCCCUCCGCCCAUUGAGAUAUUGAACGAAGGUGUCAAUAAGAUAGGGCCCAACAUAAGAAGCUAAUAUGUCCAGAAGUAGGAAUAAAGCCGUCAAUAGGAUUUCUGCCCAAAAUGCAAAGAUCAAUGCUUUCACAAGCUUAAGCGUGGUCACUCCAUUACUUCCACCACAAUCACACUGGAGCUUAUUUCUAAAUGCUGGAAAGACCGCUACAACGCUGUUGCUGGUAUCAAGCUGAGGAACAUCCCCAAGGUCUAAUGUUUUCUUGUUACCCUCAGCAAUCAAGGGACCGAUCCAAGAGAAAGUAAGAAGGCUAAAAAAACCAGCUUUUGAAAAGGGGGUCACAGUUUCUUCCCCCUUGGAUUCAUCAGACUCUACUAUACUUAUACUGGUGCCACCAUUCAAAAGUGGUUCCCUAAGAAUUGAUUCCUUACCUUGAUUCUUUCCCAAAAACCCGGAAUAGCACAAGAACAGACCAGUUAUGACGUAGACAAUGUCGGGCACCAAAAAUUGAACUUGUAGGGACUGGUCUUUCUUAACAAUGUCUAUAACAAGGCAAUAACAAGAGAUGGAGAAGUAAAAUCCCCACCAAACUCUUAACAAAAACGGGAACUUUGGUUCAACAGAACCAUGGAAUUGAGUGUGCAAAUAUACACAAACUGCUCCCCAGGAAAGUGUUCUGAGCACUAAAUCCAAAAGUGUGACCAGCUUUUCACCAGACCAGCCAUUUCUAUACCAAUAAAAGUAGUUCAAAAAACACAAGAAGAAAUUCAACAGUGACAGACCCUGACAGCAUGCAAACGUUUGCUUAUAGUACAAAAACCUAGUCCUCUUACAAUUUUCAAGAGCACCCCCGUUGAUUCUCUUGCACACCCAUGAUACAAACAGGAGAAGCAACAAAACUAGAUGCAAUGAGGCAGAAAAGGCACGUAAAAAGACUGGGUUUAGCAGAAAACCAAUACCUGGGUACGUAACCAUGGCUUCGAGCCCCACCAUUUUUUGAGAACCUUUGGAUUCCACUAAAAUGGUAUUUUGGAGGUGUGCUCAUGAAUUGGCACUUGACAGUGAAGAUUUUUGGUACUUCAUAUAUGAGAAAUAAGAUGGGAUGUCACUGGUUUUUUAAGAGUGUAUUCCACAUGAGAAAGUCAGUCAAUGGAUACUUCCAAGGGCGCCGGAUAACUUGGCAGCCAUCGAAUGUUGACGGACAUGGCAAAGAAGCUAGGCAGGCACGAAGAGAGAGACAACUUUAAAGACAUAGAGACAAUUUUCUUGCUUCCCUUUUUUUUAUUGAUCAUCUUUUUAGUAGAAUUUUCAUUGCCAAAUAUUUUUAUUUCCAAAAUCCAAAAGAUUUAUGAUUUAUUUUUUUGAUUCACAUUUCAUUCCAACAAACUACUCUAUGGUAUCAUAAAUAUUUGGGAAAUUCCCCGUUAUUAUCUUAUUUUCCAUAAAAAGUUUUAGAAACAAAUUUCAAAUUACCAGGAUGACAAAAAAAAAAAAAAAAAAAAAAACCACACACACAUAAAAGAAAAAGAAAAAUAAUAUUUUUUAUUUAGCAAUUUAAUUUAAUUACCAUUAUUUAGUUAAUUUUAAAUUAGAAUUCAAUUAUGGAAUUUAGUUAAUUCCUUUUUUAUUUCAUAGUAGAACCAUUGAUAUUUUUACAAUCAUAAUUUCUAUUUUUUUUUAAUUCUCUAAGGUUUGUAAACUUUUUUUUUUUUUUCUGAACUAUUAUGCUUUAUGAAGGAUUAUCCCCUUCAUUCCCUCUGAAAAUAGGUAACAUUGACACUGGUUGUGGUUUGAUCAUGAUAUGUUCUCAAGUGGCAAUGAAGCAUGAGGGUUUUGUUGACCCUAGGAGGGUUAAGAUGAUCUCUCAUCAACCUAUAGGCUUGGAAAUGCCUAACUUGUUGAUUGUUAUUGUUGCUUUGAUUUGUUAGGUCAUUUAUACUUGCUUGAAUUGGCUAAAUUUGUCUUUGGCGUCUAGUAAAAAUAUCCAUAUUCUAAACAAGCAUAAAAAGUAAGAAGAUGAAAAGUAAAAACUAGAAAUAAAUAAAAUUCCUAUUAUUAAAGAAAACCAACUAUUUAAAACAAAAAAACUAAAAACUAAUUAGUACGUAAUUAAUUGACUUAGAUAAAACUUGUUACUAAUUCCUUAACAAUGACAUCAUUUUCUUAACCGAAAAUCCCUAAUACAAAUAAAAUACUAAAGCAUAAAUACAUGAUAAAAUUAGUCAAGAAAAAUGAGGGAUAGAGUUAUCACAACUUGUAGUAUUUCAAGUUAUCAUCCUUAGGGAAUCAAAAAAUUUUAACUAAUUUUAUCUAAAAGUAGUGAUUUUUAUUAAAAAAAUGAUUAGAUUGAAAUUAUGAUUUGAUGGAUAAAUUAAGAAAACAAUGAUAAACCAAUCUAAAGAUUUUCACAAAUCCAAUCUCAAACCUAGGAUUGAGGGAUAAUAAAUAAUGAUUAAAGGAUUUUUUGUCUUCGUAGAUUAGACCACAAUAUAGGCCAUCCAAGUUUGGAACCAUGUUUUCAAACUUAAAAUCCAUUCUCUAAUAGUCAUUCAACAAAUAAUUUGAAACAAUGUUUUAUCCUUUAGGACAUUUAAAACCCAAUAUUCAUUUGGUGUACUCUCCUCAGUCAUCAAUUACAUUAACAUAUGAUCACACUAGGUCAACUAUUGAUCAUAAUCCCUUAUGCAUCAAAGGACCCCUAGCAUGUAUCCUAUGUAUCUCUAAUAGGGACGAACUAGCAAAUAAUUAAACUUUUAUACAAAAAUUUAAAGAUUAGAAACUUACUACCAUUAAAAGAUAUCACAUUUUCAUAUCAUCCCUUUGUCUCGAAUUAUUCAUGAUUUAUUGUUACAUCUCCAAUGAGGAAUUUAGCCACUCAUGCUCAGAUUAAUGUCAUACAUUGAAUUAAAUCGAAUCAUGAGAGAUUUUAUUGAAAACUAAAUAAUUAUAAAAGUUGUAUCCAAACUCAAAAGUUUCUCUUCUUCUCUACUCUCUUUGUUCCUAAAGAAAUUUAUGGUAUUUAUAAAAAACUAACGCUACAAACAUAAAUAAAAGUGCUAAAACAUCCAAAGACAGUAAAAGAGCCAAAUAGGGAAAGCCUUGAAGUGAAAUUCUAGAAAUUGUAGUUUGUAGAAAAAAAUUUGAUACCUCCAUAGUGGUAUCAGAUUGCAUUUCGAUAAAUGCCCAAACCUUAUAGACCUUUGGCAUGCUUCCAAUGUGUUAUUGGAUUGAUUACAACAUGUAUCAUAAUGUAUCUUUUUGUAUUGACACCUUAUAUUAAAAUUGUAUCUCAAUGCAUCUUUUCGUAUUGAAAUGUUGCACUUUGUAUCAAAAUUGCAUCUCCUUGUAUCGAAAUUCAUUUUGAUGAACCUUGAAAUUUUUUACAUCUUUGGAAUGCUUUUCCAAGAAAAUUUGGAUGCCUCCACUAUAAUUGAAAUGUUUAUCAAAAUUCAUCUUUCGUAUCGAAAUACAUUUUGAUAAACUCCUGAACUGAACUCACUAGAUCUUUGGAAGGUUGAGGUUGGUGAUUUUUUAUGCCUUCUCAUUGCAUGAAAAUCAAUAUCAAAAUGCAUUUCUUGUAUUGAAAUGGUGUUCUCACAUCAAAUUGUGUAUCACAUAGUAUCAAAAUGCAUUCCAAUAACACCCCAAACUUACUAUGUUCCAAUUGACUCUACUCCUUUGUAUUGAAGUUGUUAGGACAAUGAGUCUUCAUCGUAUGUUGACAAUUUUGUCCCAUUCUUUGAAGAUCCAAGGUUAUUGUUUGUCCAAUUGAAAAGUCACAUGUACGCCCAAAAUGGUUUCACUUGUGGCAAGUUAGGUACACAAAGGGAAUAAAGCAGAUCAAUAUAUUUUUUUAAAGAAUUAAAAAGGUUUGUUAAAGGCAAGUUAGUAUUAUUAGUUUUUUUUUUUAAUAAAGUAAGGUUGGAUUGGAAAUUUUAAAAUUGAGUUAAAAUCUCUUAAUUAAUUUUUGACAACUUUGAAAUUUUAUUUUUAUUAGAAAUUUGAUAUUUUAUUUUUAAGAAAAUUAUUUUCUUAAUUAAUUUUUAGAAAGUUGAUAUUCUUUUUUUUUUUUUAAGAAAACUAUUUUCUUAAUUAAUCUUUAGAAAGUUGAGAUUUAAUUCCAUUUCCAAGUCUCUAAGCUUUUAUGCCUAUAUGUAUAAACCCUUGCUUAACACAUUUUGGGGUUGGACAUUAUUGAGAGAGAUUUGACCUAACUUGCCCUUUCCAAUCUCUCAAGAAAGUUUAAAAGAUUGAAUCUUAGAUUGUUGGAAGACCUAUAUUCCUUCAUUGAGGCUAAGGAGUAUUCAUUAAAGCAAUUGGAGAUUGCUAUGUCAUGUGGAUCAAGUUGUAGCUAUCGAAAAGUAAGUCUUUAGGGUAAAACAACGAUAAAUCUCUGUAAUUUGAUCUCAUAUAAUGGAUUUAGAUUAAGGGUUUUAAACCCCAUGUUUGUUUUAUCUCCAUAAUAGUGUUGGGGUUUUUCAUAUAAAAAUUCUUGUGUCCUAUGCAUGCAUAUUUACUUUCUUUCUUUUUUUCUAAUAUUUUGGAUAUUUUGUUAAUCCCUACUAUCUUAUAGAUUUAAUUAAGUUAAAAACUCUACUCCCUAUUUAAAUUGAGUAAUUAAUUCUUAAUCCUUAUAUUAUAAUUUUUAAUUACACCCAUUCAUCCCUUUGAUGUCACCUUAUCGGACUACAGUUUUUUAGAAGUGAUUUUGAAAUCAACUCUUAUGCAUCAAAAUUCCUCUUUUUCCUUGCAUUCUUCAUUAGAUGUACAUAUUAAUCCUCAAUUUGAGGCUUUGCAAAUAUUUAAGUUACAAGAUAAUGAUUUGCACUCAAAAGUUAUUUAAAAGCCUAUUUUUAUGUAUGGAAAAACAUCAGUUUUGAGUGCUUAUCAACUACUGCAUUUGGGAUUGUAACUGCAGUUUAGUUGUCGUCAUUGUCACGCAAGAUUUUAAGUUGAAGUUUUUGACCGGUGCAACAGGCGUGCUUGCUGGUUCAGAUAUCACCCGCAUUUUCAAGAUUAGAAUGUGACCUCACAGUGUACUCUGCUACAAGCUUUGCAAAAGAUGACGACUUGUUCUCUAGCAAUCUGGUGGGGGUAUCGUAUUCCUCAAUAAGCCCUGCAUCGACAUUUCCAGGGAAAUAAAUCAAGAAGAAUGCAGAUGAAGUUAAGAGUGCCAUUAGUUCAUGUUGAUAGUACUAACCAUGAUCCAGAAGUAGAACCUUGUCACUAUCAAGAACAGAAGUAAUUCGAUGUGCAAUGGUUAUGACUGUGGAAUCGACAAAGUGUUGUCUAAGGGUUUGCUGAAUCAGAUUAUCCGUGGCUGUAUCAACUGAUGCAGUAGCUUCAUCAAGCACUAAGACCUUGCUUUUCUUCAGUAGAACUCUGCCAAGACAAACCAGUUGCCUCUGACCCAUGCUCCAAUUCUCUCCAUUCUCAAUAACUGCCAAAUGCAUGCCAACAUUAGGAGUCUUAUAUGAGGUUACUAUUUAGAUUUUAUGUUAGCAUGGCGGGAGAAAUAACCUGCAGAAUCUAGCUUUCCUUCUUUCUUCCUGACUUCAUCUCCAAGCUGGCACUUAUCCAGAGCCUGAACCAAUAAGUUAGUUAACAACAUUGCAUUUCUACAGUAAUAAGAAAUGCAGCAAAGGAAACUAUAUUUCUACUGUAUUAAGAAAACAUAGUAGAGGAAAACUACAUGUCUACCAUACUUACGUAAAUCAAUAGAAUAAACAAAACCUACCUCCCAAAUCUGUUCAUCUGAGUGCUCUUCAAGUGGGUCAAGGUUGCUCCGUACAGUCCCUUCAAACAUGGUUGGAUCCUGAGGGAUAAUGCUUAGUCUAGUCCGCAAAUCAUUUAGUCCAAUAGAAGAGAUGUUGGUACCAUCUAUCAUAAUCUGACCAGCGGCAGGUUCAACAAUUCGAAAGAGGGUCUGUAUGAGGGUUGAUUUACCACUGCCAGUUCGCCCUACAAUGCCAGUCUUCAUUCCUCCCAGGAAAGUGCAUGUGAGACCUCUCAAUACAAGUGGCAUGUGUGGGGCAUAGCGGACCUACAUCCACACUCACCGUCAUCAAACAUAUGGAAAUUCCUCUGACCAGAGGAAGCCAUGAAUAACCCUCUAGCAUAUAUAUAAAUAGAAAUUACCUGCAAAUCCUGAAUAUCAACUUCUCCAUGUGAAGGCCAAGAACAUGCUAGCCUGUUUUCUUCUGUGACAAGAGGAGGCUCGCUUGGAAUGGAAGUGUAUUGAAGUAUUCUCUCAACUGAUAUAAUUUUAUUCUCCAUAUUGCAAAGAUUCCAUAUUACCCUAGCUUGUAUCAUGUUCAAAUUAAGUCCAUAUGUCAUUGCUAGGCCCGCAAUACCUUUAAUGGAAGUGGAAAAGAGUGUUAGUAAUUCUCCUAUGCCAUUUGCUAUUGAGAGUGACAUGGAUAAUCAGUGAAUAUACCAGAACAGAGAUACUUACCAGGAUCAAUUACUCCCUCUGGAACAGAGAUUAAGAAAACCAAAGAGAAGGCAAAUGUAACAGAAGAUAGCAUAUCCAAGCGGAAGCACAGCCAUUCCAUUGCACCAGCAAUGUUGAACUUGGGCCGUAAAUACCCAUCUACCAAUUUCAUGUUUGUAUCCCUGAAUCUAGAUUCUUGAUCAAAGCUUCUGAUGGUCAUAGAUCCUGCUAUAGUUUCAGAAAAAUGUUGAAUUACUGGAGCUUUGCAUACUCCAGCCAAUCUUGACAGUUCUCGUGCUGAAGGUAUGUAAUAUUGCUGCUUAAUUAUAAUGUUGUAAGAACCUUUUGCUCAUAUAUGAUAUAAAUCUAAGCUUUAAGGGGUAUUGAAAAAAAGGGGGAAAAAUGGUUUUGGAAAUGAUAAAAAAAUAGAAAUACAUUAGUUAAACAUUGCAUCUAAACAGCAAAACCUGCAGUUUAUCUUGCAGCCAAUUUCAUUACUCUUAUCUGAAAAGUGAAUUGGCACUCAAAAACCACCAUAUCAACACUAAAGAAACUUUCAUUCUGAGGCCAUAUUAAUUGGCAUGGCACAUUCAUAUUUGCACCUCCUUAAUAUGCAAUGCUUGUGACUGAGCCCCAGCUCAGCUGGAUCAGAAAGGAACAUGAACAUGCCAUGAAUUGUAAGAGUUAUCCUGAAUUAGGAUUCCAUUUUAAUGCAGUUGGUUUAAAACGAAUCAAAUUUCUCAGUAAGCAAUGCACUACUCCAAUUUUUUUUCUAAGCAACAUUUUGGAGUAAAGCUUAGUUUAUACCCAAAAUGGUUUUGAGCCUACUGGCAUUUUCAUGGACAUAUGAUUGAUAAUCUAAUGUGGAAGAGUACAUGGCAUAUGUAAGCAAAGAAAAUAAAUAAUGUAAUAUGAGAAACAUAAGGUGAUCUCAACUACAGAGCAUGAGAUGUCAUGUGACAAAGCCAUGUGUUGGCAUUAACUAACAAGAAGAGGUCCUAAUAAGUUCACAAUGGUUACCUGAUACCAGAUGCAGGUUGCAAUCACAGGAAUAAAGACAAUGAAAACCUGCCAUGCAACCUGUGACAUAACUGCAAUAAUUCCCAGGAGCUGAAUCAAUUGGAAGGCAAAUGCCCCAACUUGCAUUGGCAUGGUUGUAUCGAUCGUACUUUGGUCUGCAGAAGCCUGUAAAAAAGGGAAGGAUCAAUUAAGUGAUAUUCUAACACUAACUUUGGUAAAUGGGGAAAAAUGCAAGGCAGAAAUAGACAUAUAUUCAUAUUUUCACUUACUCUGUUUAGAAUUCGCCCACUUGGGGUGGCAUCAAAGAAUGACAUUGGGGCACGGAAGACGCACAAAUGCAUUUUAUUGAAGAGUAUAGUAGCUGUCUUGUAACCAGCUGUUACAAGAAGCAUGGCUCUGGAAAGGACGCAAAAAGAACUUCCAACAGCCAAAGCUACAUAAACAAUUAUGAGAGUAGAACCUCUAACUGCAGGUUUCACAUCAUCUGACACGGGACUUGCCCAAGCCAUCCAAUAAUUGCUUCCAAUCUGAAGCAGCUGAAAGAGAAUCUGUGACAACAAUAUAAAGGGCACAAGAGCUCCUCCAUAUGCUGUCCUGAUGUAUUUCCAAUAAACCCAUAGCCCAACUUUACCUUUCUCUCUCUCCUCUUCUUGAACAAGCUGACCUUUUGGUCCAUCUAUCUCCUCUGCUUUACCAUUUUGGCCACCUCUGUUUUCUUCUUUUUCAACUACUUCAGAAGUACCACCAAUAUUAUCACUAUCCUCAAGGAUACUUAAUUUUUCUGAAAGUGACCCUGCCUCUACAGAAUUGAGUGCUAACAAAGCUUUCUUAUGUGCACCAACAAGUUCCAUAAAAUCAGUUCCAGAGUUGAGAAUUUCAUUGUACUUUCCUGCUUGUGUAACCCUUCCAUCUUUCAUGACCUGCAGGUAUGCUACAUUUCUUAAGUUUAUCUAAUGAAAACAAAGGCAAGGAAGAAA
rnacentral:lncRNA from 1 species